GAUGAACGCUAGCGGCAGGCCUAAUACAUGCAAGUCGAACGAUACUUUCCAGCUUGCUGGAAAGGAAAGUGGCGGACGGGUGCGUAACGCGUAUGCAACCUACCUUAAUCAGGGGGAUAGCCCGAAGAAAUUCGGAUUAACACCGCAUAAAAUCACAGUACAGCAUUGUACCAUGAUCAAAUAUUUAUAGGAUUAAGAUGGGCAUGCGUGACAUUAGCUAGUUGGCGGGGUAACGGCCCACCAAGGCGACGAUGUCUAGGGGAUAUGAGAGGAUGACCCCCCACACUGGUACUGAGACACGGACCAGACUCCUACGGGAGGCAGCAGUAAGGAAUAUUGGUCAAUGGAGGCAACUCUGAACCAGCCAUGCCGCGUGCAGGAAGACAGCCCUCUGGGUCGUAAACUGCUUUUAUUCGGGAAUAAACCUACUUACGUGUAAGUAGCUGAAUGUACCGAAGGAAUAAGGAUCGGCUAACUCCGUGCCAGCCGCCGCGGUAA
rnacentral:rRNA from 1 species